rnacentral:tRNA from 1 species
CCUGGUGGCUCAGACGGUAAAGAAUCUGCCUGCAAUGCAGGAGGCCCAGGUUCAAUCCCUGGGUCAGGA